AAUGAAGUGGCUGAAUUAAGGCAAUAAACUGUAAAUUUAUUUAUGGGUUUAAACCCCUUCAUU
rnacentral:tRNA from 1 species